CCUACGGGAGGCAGCAGUGAGGAAUAUUGGUCAAUGGCCGGAAGGCUGAACCAGCCAUGCCGCGUGAAGGUCAGUGCCCUAUGGGCGUUAAACUUCUUUUGUGCGGGAGCAAUAAUGGUCACGUGUGGCCAGACGAGAGUACCGUACGAAUAAGCAUCGGCUAACUCCGUGCCAGCAGCCGCGGUAAUACGGGGGAUGCAAGCGUUAUCCGGAUGUAUUGGGUUUAAAGGGUGCGUAGGCUGUGAGGUAAGUCAGCGGUGAAAUGCCCCCGCUCAACGGGGUGAAGUGCCAUUGAUACUGCCUGGCUGGAAUGCGGAUGCCGUGGGAGGAAUGUGUGGUGUAGCGGUGAAAUGCAUAGAUAUCACACAGAACACCGAUUGCGAAGGCAUCUCACGAAUCCGCGAUUGACGCUGAUGCACGAAAGCGUGGGUAUCAAACAGGAUUAGAUACCCUUGUAGUC
rnacentral:rRNA from 1 species